ACUUUAAUUGAAGAGUUUGAUCAUGGCUCAGAUUGAACGCUGGCGGCAGGCCUAACACAUGCAAGUCGAGCGGAAACGGCGG
rnacentral:rRNA from 1 species